GUCAAAACAAGGACAGAGCGGGAAGCCAUCAGGAUUUGAGCGUCAGCCGCAAUCUGUUCGCAUCCUUAACACAGGACUGACAAAUCAAUGUCGUUUUGUCUGGUUUACUCAAUAUGGGUACAAAAAAGGAGAAGGAAACCCGGAAGAAGAGGACUCUCGUUCAAGGUGAUUCGGAUGCCAUGAGGUGGCGACUUGUCCAGGGGUGUACCCUGCCUUCCGCCCGGGUGCAGCUGGGAUAGGCUCCGGCCAACCCCCGUGACCCCGGAAGGGACAAGCGUCAGAAAAUGGAUGGAUGGACGGAUCAUAUUCUCAUAUAAUCAAGGUCGUAUUAACAAUGCAUAUUAUUUAUGUGUCACAAAAAAAGU